rnacentral:rRNA from 1 species
AGGUGGCAAGCGUUAUCCGGAAUUAUUGGGCGUAAAGAGGGAGCAGGCGGAAGCAAGGGUCUGUGGUGAAAGCCUGAAGCUUAACUUCAGUAAGCCAUAGAAACCAGGCAGCUAGAGUGCAGGAGAGGAUCGUGGAAUUCCAUGUGUAGCGGUGAAAUGCGUAGAUAUAUGGAGGAACACCAGUGGCGAAAGCGACGAUCUGGCCUGCAACUGACGCUCAGUCCCGAAAGCGUGGGGAGCAAA